CAGGAUUAGAUACCCUGGUAGUCCACGCCCUAAACGAUGUCAACUAGUUGUCGGGUCUUCAUUGACUUGGUAACGUAGCUAACGCGUGAAGUUGACCGCCUGGGGAGUACGGUCGCAAGAUUAAAACUCAAAGGAAUUGACGGGGACCCGCACAAGCGGUGGAUGAUGUGGAUUAAUUCGAUGCAACGCGAAAAACCUUACCUACCCUUGACAUGUAUGGAAUCCUGCUGAGAGGUGGGAGUGCCCGAAAGGGAGCCAUAACACAGGUGCUGCAUGGCUGUCGUCAGCUCGUGUCGUGAGAUGUUGGGUUAAGUCCCGCAACGAGCGCAACCCUUGUCCCUAGUUGCUACGCAAGAGCACUCUAGGGAGACUGCCGGUGACAAACCGGAGGAAGGUGGGGAUGACGUCAAGUCCUCAUGGCCCUUAUGGGUAGGGCUUCACACGUCAUACAAUGGCCGGAACAGAGGGUCGCCAACCCGCGAGGGGGAGCCAAUCCCAGAAAACCGAUCGUAGUCCGGAUCGCACUCUGCAACUCGAGUGCGUGAAGCUGGAAUCGCUAGUAAUCGCGGAUCAGC
rnacentral:rRNA from 1 species